ACCCUUAUCCUUUGUUGCCAGCGAUUAGGUCGGGAACUCAAAGGAGACUGCCAGUGAUAAACUGGAGGAAGGUGGGGAUGACGUCAAGUCAUCAUGGCCCUUACGACCAGGGCUACACACGUGCUACAAUGGCGCAUACAAAGAGAAGCGACCUCGCGAGAGCAAGCGGACCUCAUAAAGUGCGUCGUAGUCCGGAUUGGAGUCUGCAACUCGACUCCAUGAAGUCGGAAUCGCUAGUAAUCGUGGAUCAGAAUGCCACGGUGAAUACGUUCCCGGGCCUUGUACACACCGCCCGUCACACCAUGGGAGUGGGUUGCAAAAGAAGUAGGUAGCUUAACCUUCGGGAGGGCGCUUACCACUUUGUGAUUCAUGACUGGGGUGAAGUCGUAACAAGGUAACCGUAGGGGAACCUGC
rnacentral:rRNA from 3 species